GACGAACGCUGGCGGCGUGCCUAAUACAUGCAAGUCGAGCGGACUUAAAAAGCUUGCUUUUUAAGUUAGCGGCGGACGGGUGAGUAACACGUGGGCAACCUGCCUGUAAGACUGGGAUAACUUCGGGAAACCGGAGCUAAUACCGGAUAAUCCUUUCCUACUCAUGUAGGAAAGCUGAAAGACGGUUUACGCUGUCACUUACAGAUGGGCCCGCGGCGCAUUAGCUAGUUGGUGAGGUAACGGCCUACCAAGGCGACGAUGCGUAGCCGACCUGAGAGGGUGAUCGGCCACACUGGGACUGAGACACGGCCCAGACUCCUACGGGAGGCAGCAGUAGGGAAUCUUCCGCAAUGGACGAAGGUCUGACGGAGCAACGCCGCGUGAGUGAUGAAGGUUUUCGGAUCGUAAAACUCUGUUGUUAGGGAAGAACAAGUACGAGAGUAACUGCUCGUACCUUGACGGUACCUAACCAGAAAGCCACGGCUAACUACGUGCCAGCCGCCGCGGUAA
rnacentral:rRNA from 1 species